UGGUGGGGUGACCCGUCUGGUUAAUUUCGAUAACGAACGAGAUCCGAGCUGUUUAGUUGGCCAUGUCCGUCUCGGCGAGGUAUGUGUCUCCUAUAUGGACUGUCAGUAUGAGGCUGAAGGAAGUUUCGGGCUAAAUCA
rnacentral:rRNA from 1 species